GACGGAGGAUGCCAGCGUUAUCCGGAAUUAUUGGGCGUAAAGGGCGCGUAGGUGGCCGGACAAGUCUCAUGUCAAAGCAUGGCGCUUAACGCCAUAAAGGCGUGGGAAACUGUCAGACUAGAGUACAGCAGGGGCAGGAGGAAUUCCCGGUGUAGCGGUGAAAUGCGUAGAUAUCGGGAAGAACACCAGUGGCGCAAGCGUUCUGCUGGGCUGUAACUGACACUGAGGCGCGAAAGCUAGGGGAGCGAAAGGG
rnacentral:rRNA from 1 species